rnacentral:rRNA from 1 species
GUACGUGAAACCGCUCAGGGGUAAACGGAAAAGACCCGAAAUUUCCGAAGAGGGAGAUUCACGUCUUUACGCGAGUUCGACGCAUCCGUUUUUCUUCGACGGCUCUGUUACCGUCCGGACUUGUCCGGCGCGGCGAUGGAGUUGCAGAAAGCGGUGUGGAGGCUCACGGCGGACCGCACUUCUCCCUCAGUAGGACGUCGUGACCCGCCCAGCCAUGGUCUUACGGUCGCGGGGUGGAGACUGUCCUUAUGUGUUCGCACGUUUAAGGGCAGACCCCUGCGUCCUGGCCAUGGGGCUAUCUGGACGGUAUCAAAUGACGGUGUUCGGCCUCUCAUCGGCGGAGGAAACUCCUGCUAGUGAGCGCGAUUUGAUCCUGCGACAAGGUGCUGAGAUGUCUAGUCAAGGCGGGCCUCCGUCCGUCUGGCUGCUCUCUGCCCUGUUGGUUUUUGGAUCUCUCGUUAGGCCUAAUGCACUCGUCUACGGCGAACCAGUUUUGGGUUCUUGUCCGACCCGUCUUGAAACACGGACCAAGGAGUUCAGCGUGUACGCGAGUCAUUGGGUGUUAAAACCUAAAGGCGAAAUGAAAGUGAAGGGAACUUCCGUUUCUGAGGGAGGAUGAGGUAGUUACCCGCAAGGGGCUCCUCCGCACUCCCGGGGCGUCUCUUCCUCAUUGCGAGUGGAGGCGCACCCAGAGCGUAUACGCUGAUACCCGAAAGAUGGUGAACUAUGCCUGGCCAGGACGAAGCCAGGGGAAACCCUGGUGGAGGUCCGCAGCGAUUCUGACGUGCAAAUCGAUCGUCGGAGCUGGGUAUAGGGGCGAAAGACCAAUCGAACCAUCUAGUAGCUGGUUCCCUCCGAAGUUUCCCUCAGGAUAGCUUGCGCUCACGUGAACGAGUCUCAUCCGGUAGAGCGAAUGAUUAGAGGCCUUGGGGUCGAAACGACCUCAACCUAUUCUCAAACUCCAAAUAGAUGAGAACUCCGGCUUCCUUGAAACAAACCUUGUUUUGAAGCCGGGGGCUUGGAUCAGAGUGCCAAGUGGGCCAAUUUUGGUAAGCAGAACUGGCGCUGUGGG